UGGGGAAUCUUGCGCAAUGCGCGAAAGCGUGACGCAGCAACGCCGCGUGGGGGAAGACGGCUUUCGGGUUGUAAACCCCUUUCAGUUGGGACGAAGCUCUGUCCGUUAAUAGCGGAUCAGAGUGACGGUACCUUCAGAAGAAGCUCCGGCUAACUACGUGCCAGCAGCCGCGGUAAUACGUAGGGAGCAAGCGUUGUCCGGAAUUAUUGGGCGUAAAGCGCGUGUAGGCGGUUCAGUAAGUCUGCUGUGAAAGUCAAGGGCUCAACCCUUGAAUGCCGGUGGAUACUGUUGGACUUGAGUACGGAAGAGGCGAGUGGAAUUCCUGGUGUAGCGGUGAAAUGCGCAGAUAUCAGGAGGAACACCAAUUGCGAAGGCAGCUCGCUGGUACGUAACUGACGCUGAGACGCGAAAGCGUGGGGAGCAAACAG
rnacentral:rRNA from 1 species